rnacentral:rRNA from 1 species
GGAGUUUGAUCCUGGCUCAGGACGAACGCUGGCGGCGUGCCUAAUACAUGCAAGUCGAGCGGACAGGUGGGAGCUUGCUCCCUGAUGUUAGCGGCGGACGGGUGAGUAACACGUGGGUAACCUGCCUGUAAGACUGGGAUAACUCCGGGAAACCGGGGCUAAUACCGGAUGGUUGUUUGAACCGCAUGGUUCAAACAUAAAAGGUGGCUUCGGCUACCACUUACAGAUGGACCCGCGGCGCAUUAGCUAGUUGGUGAGGUAACGGCUCACCAAGGCAACGAUGCGUAGCCGACCUGAGAGGGUGAUCGGCCACACUGGGACUGAGACACGGCCCAGACUCCUACGGGAGGCAGCAGUAGGGAAUCUUCCGCAAUGGACGAAAGUCUGACGGAGCAACGCCGCGUGAGUGAUGAAGGUUUUCGGAUCGUAAAGCUCUGUUGUUAGGGAAGAACAAGUACCGUUCGAACAGGGCGGUACCUUGACGGUACCUAACCAGAAAGCCACGGCUAACUACGUGCCAGCAGCCGCGGUAAUACGUAGGUGGCAAGCGUUUUCCGGAAUUAUUGGGCGUAAAGGGCUCGCAGGCGGUUUCUUAAGUCUGAUGUGAAAGCCCCCGGCUCAACCGGGGAGGGCCAUUGGAAACUGGGGAACUUGAGUGCAGAAGAGGAGAGUGGAAUUCCACGUGUAACGGUGAAAUGCGUAGAGAUGUGGAGGAACACCAGUGGCGAAGGCGACUCUCUGGUCUGUAACUGACGCUGAGGAGCGAAAGCGUGGGGAGCGAACAGGAUUAGAUACCCUGGUAGUCCACGCCGUAAACGAUGAGUGCUAAGUGUUAGGGGGUUUCCGCCCCUUAGUGCUGCAGCUAACGCAUUAAGCACUCCGCCUGGGGAGUACGGUCGCAAGACUGAAACUCAAAGGAAUUGACGGGGGCCCGCACAAGCGGUGGAGCAUGUGGUUUAAUUCGAAGCAACGCGAAGAACCUUACCAGGUCUUGACAUCCUCUGACAAUCCUAGAGAUAGGACGUCCCCUUCGGGGGCAGAGUGACAGGUGGUGCAUGGUUGUCGUCAGCUCGUGUCGUGAGAUGUUGGGUUAAGUCCCGCAACGAGCGCAACCCUUGAUCUUAGUUGCCAGCAUUCAGUUGGGCACUCUAAGGUGACUGCCGGUGACAAACCGGAGGAAGGUGGGGAUGACGUCAAAUCAUCAUGCCCCUUAUGACCUGGGCUACACACGUGCUACAAUGGACAGAACAAAGGGCAGCGAAACCGCGAGGUUAAGCCAAUCCCACAAAUCUGUUCUCAGUUCGGAUCGCAGUCUGCAACUCGACUGCGUGAAGCUGGAAUCGCUAGUAAUCGCGGGUCAGCAUGCCGCGGUGAAUACGUUCCCGGGCCUUGUACACACCGCCCGUCACACCACGAGAGUUUGUAACACCCGAAGUCGGUGAGGUAACCUUUUAGGAGCCAGCCGCCGAAGGUGGGACAGAUGAUUGGGGUGAAGUCGUAACAAGGUA